AUGCCGCUGAACCUCAUACCUGGCGCUGGAAUGAAGUUCACCACAUAUGAAAAGGCAUGGGACUUUUACAAUAAUUAUGCAAGAUAUGCAGGGUUUGGCAUACGCAAGAGGUCAAAACACAUGACAAAUGCCUACAUUGUCUACUCAAGAGAAGGGACGCACAAGCAGACUGUGUCAGAUUAUCACCGGAAACGUCAGAAGACAUCAAAAAGGAUUGGCUGCAAGGCAAAGAUUAGAGUCAAGAAAGGAAGGAUGGCAAAUUUGAAACAGAAGUUUGCCAGAGAAGAGUCCGAAGAUGAUGUCAACAAACAUCAGGAUUUCUUCGAGAAGAUGCAGAAGAUAAACCAAGAGUUCUUCUAUGAUUAUGAUGUUGAUGCACAUAACUGUGUAAGAAACGUCUUUUGGGCCAACGCAAGUUGCAAAGGAUCAUAUGAAGAUUUUGGAGAUUGCGUUAUAUUUGACACGAGGUAUAAAACUAACAAAUUCCACAUGCCCCUGGGAGUCUUCGUGGGAGUGAACCAUCAUCGAUAG
rnacentral:rRNA from 1 species